CUUCGCUCUCCGGCCUUCUGGAGCGCGAGCACAAAGGAGCGCCUUGGUGCUGGCAGAGGCUGGGGGCACGGCUGGGUUUUACAAGGAAGGACGAAAUCCGAUCCCAGCAAUCGGGAUAGAUCUUCGUCGCCCUUCUCUGAGGUGACCCAAUUCUGAGACCGGCCGCUUGGCUCUGAGCACAUGUGUAUCACAGUCCCAGCUAGCACGCCCGGCCUUGCCAGAGAGGAUCCACCUCUGGGACUCUUCCUCCUUUCUCGUUCAGUUCAAGGGGGUCAACUGAAAAGGACCAGAGAACCUCUAAACUGGGGGUGUGCUGAUUACAGAACUGGAGCUCACACUCUAGAAGAGGGGACUUGAAACUGAGUGGGAACUUCACAUCUUUGGAAGAACUUCCAAUUUCCAAGAGUGUUGGACUAAUUCCACCUGGCUGAAGAAGACAGCUCUGUUAAAUUGCUCUGGGCCCCCUUUGGCCGGCCUUGCUGCUGCGCGGUCCCAUGCAGAAACUACAGGAAGCACCUGUCCUUGCUGUUUGCAGCACAGUGGAAGAAACUCCAUUCAACUCCACUCCAGCCCUCUAAUGUCCAUAUUAAACAACUUUUAGACAUUC